rnacentral:rRNA from 1 species
UACGUAGGGCGCAAGCGUUGUCCGGAAUUAUUGGGCGUAAAGAGCUCGUAGGUGGCUUGUCACGUCGGGUGUGAAAGCUUGGGGCUUAACUCCAGGUCUGCAUUCGAUACGGGCUGGCUAGAGGUAGGUAGGGGAGAACGGAAUUCCUGGUGUAGCGGUGAAAUGCGCAGAUAUCAGGAAGAACACCCGUGGCGAAGGCGGCUCUCUGGGACGGUACUGACGCUGAGACGCGAAAGCGUGGGGAGCGAACCGG